AGCUCGCGCCAGGCGGGUGGGCGCGCUCUGGGCAUAAGGUGGCGCCGCGCUCCGGGUGGCUGGUCCCAGCUCACUCCAUGGCGCCGUACAGUCUGCGGUAGAGUUGCUGAGGGGAACGACCUGCGCUCGGCGAUAUCUGAUUUCUUGCAAGAGAUUUCAAUCCUCUUGCUUUUUUUCAAUCCUUUGGGCAGGAGGGUGAUGAUGGAGGACUAAGCUUGCUGGUGAUGGUCAUCGACUGUUGGAGGCUUCCACACAGCUGGGCCUAGAGAAUGUGCAAGCUGGGCCGUCUUAACGCAUGGCCACGCUGGGCAGUUGUCCGGGGCCCCACAAGCAUAGGGAGCCAAUGCUAAUCUAUGUAUAUUGUGACUUGCGGUCAAAAAAUAAAUACUAUACUAAACUAUAAAUCUCCCCAUUGGAUUGCAACCUUGUCGUGGUCGUGGAGCUUAUGUGUCUCAGUGACCCCCAGAGCUAUGCCAGUGGGAGAUUCGUUUCCUGUUAGGGUCUCCCAUGCUGGACAGGUCGAAGGGUAGAGGUGAGACGAAGAACGAUUCACUGGUCCUCGAGGUUGGAGGUUGAGCACAGGGCUAACAACCCUGUCUCGUAAAACAAAUAUGUUACGGAAACAGCAACUGAAGGAAUCAACACUACUGGGCGUGAUGGACCUCCAGGGCUAUCGACAGAUGCUAGGAUGAAUGUACCAGACAGCAUCCCAAGAAUAGCCCUGCACUGGACACCAGAAAGGAAAAGUAAAAGAGGGAGACCAAAAAACCACCUGCCGUCGAACUGUAGAGGAGGAAAUGAAAACAAUCGACCCGACCUGGGGUAGUGUCCAGAAGCUAGCCCAGAACAGACAGGAGUGGAAGACCUUUGUUGCUGCCCUACAUGCCAGGAGGCAUAAUAGGCAGUAAGUAAAUCGUUUACCUUAUCGUGGUGAAGAGGCUUGCGUGACCCCAUGAUUCCGAGAGCGAUGCGGUCGGAAGCACCAGCUUCUGGUAGGGCCACCCAUGGCGGUAAGGUUCAGGAUGAGGGUCCAGACUAUGAACGAUCCAACCUACAAGACCUCAACGGUGGACCAGGCGGAUGAAGUUAUCUUGAACUCAACGGCUGUGAAGGCUGCAACAGAUCUAUCGGCUCCAUUCGUCUAGGUUACCUUGCCAUUGGAAUUAGUUGAUUGAUUUGUGAAGGACCUUGUACUUCUUGGAAUGCAACAUCAAAUACAUGUUAAACAAACACA